rnacentral:rRNA from 1 species
GGCGGUAUGCUUAACACAUGCAAGUCGAACGGGGUUCUUCGGAACCUAGUGGCGGACGGGUGAGUAACGCGUGAGAAUCUGGCUUUAGGUCUGGGACAACCACUGGAAACGGUGGCUAAUACUGGAUGUGCCGAAAGGUGAAAGGUUAACUGCCUGAAGAUGAGCUCGCGUCUGAUUAGCUAGUUGGAAGUGUAAUGGACUCCCAAGGCGACGAUCAGUAGCUGGUCUGAGAGGACGAUCAGCCACACUGGGACUGAGACACGGCCCAGACUCCUACGGGAGGCAGCAGUGGGGAAUUUUCCGCAAUGGGCGAAAGCCUGACGGAGCAAUACCGCGUGAGGGAGGAAGGCUCUUGGGUCGUAAACCUCUUUUCUCAGGGAAGAAAAAAAUGACGGUACCUGAGGAAUAAGCAUCGGCUAACUCCGUGCCAGCAGCCGCGGUAAUACGGAGGAUGCAAGCGUUAUCCGGAAUGAUUGGGCGUAAAGCGUCCGCAGGUGGCAAUGUAAGUCUGCUGUUAAAGAGUCUAGCUCAACUAGAUAGAAGCAGUGGAAACUACAUAGCUAGAGUACGUUCGGGGCAGAGGGAAUUCCUGGUGUAGCGGUGAAAUGCGUAGAGAUCAGGAAGAACACCAGUGGCGAAGGCGCUCUGCUAGGCCGUAACUGACACUGAGGGACGAAAGCUAGGGGAGCGAAUGGGAUUAG